UACAGAGGUCCCGAGCGUUGUUCGGAUUCACUGGGCGUAAAGGGUGCGUAGGUGGUGAGGUAAGUCGGAUGUGAAAUCUCCAAGCUCAACUUGGAAAUGGCAUUGGAAACUACCUUGCUGGAGGUUUGGAGGGGGGACUGGAAUUCUCGGUGUAGCAGUGAAAUGCGUAGAUAUCGAGAGGAACACCAAUUGCGAAGGCAGCUGACUAGACCUGGAUUGACGCUGAGGCACGAAAGCGUGGGGAGCGAACAGG
rnacentral:rRNA from 1 species